rnacentral:rRNA from 1 species
CUGCCUGAUGGAGGGGGAUAACUACUGGAAACGGUAGCUAAUACCGCAUAACGUCGCAAGACCAAAGAGGGGGACCCUCGGGCCUCUUGCCAUCGGAUGUGCCCAGAUGGGAUUAGCUUGUUGGUGGGGUAACGGCUCACCAAGGCGACGAUCCCUAGCUGGUCCGAGAGGAUGACCAGCCACACUGGAACUGAGACACGGUCCAGACUCCUACGGGAGGCAGCAGUGGGGAAUAUUGCACAAUGGGCGCAAGCCUGAUGCAGCCAUGCCGCGUGUAUGAAGAAGGCCUUCGGGUUGUAAAGUACUUUCAGCGGGGAGGAAGGGAGUAAAGUUAAUACCUUUGCUCAUUGACGUUACCCGCAGAAGAAGCACCGGCUAACUCCGUGCCAGCAGCCGCGGUAAUACGGAGGGUGCAAGCGUUAAUCGGAAUUACUGGGCGUAAAGCGCACGCAGGCGGUUUGUUAAGUCAGAUGUGAAAUCCCCGGGCUCAACCUGGGAACUGCAUCUGAUACUGGCAAGCUUGAGUCUCGUAGAGGGGGGUAGAAUUCCAGGUGUAGCGGUGAAAUGCGUAGAGAUCUGGAGGAAUACCGGUGGCGAAGGCGGCCCCCUGGACGAAGACUGACGCUCAGGUGCGAAAGCGUGGGGAGCAAACAGGAUUAGAUACCCUGGUAGUCCACGCCGUAAACGAUGUCGACUUGGAGGUUGUGCCCUUGAGGCGUGGCUUCCGGAGCUAACGCGUUAAGUCGACCGCCUGGGGAGUACGGCCGCAAGGUUAAAACUCAAAUGAAUUGACGGGGGCCCGCACAAGCGGUGGAGCAUGUGGUUUAAUUCGAUGCAACGCGAAGAACCUUACCUGGUCUUGACAUCCACGGAAGUUUUCAGAGAUGAGAAUGUGCCUUCGGGAACCGUGAGACAGGUGCUGCAUGGCUGUCGUCAGCUCGUGUUGUGAAAUGUUGGGUUAAGUCCCGCAACGAGCGCAACCCUUAUCCUUUGUUGCCAGCGGUCCGGCCGGGAACUCAAAGGAGACUGCCAGUGAUAAACUGGAGGAAGGUGGGGAUGACGUCAAGUCAUCAUGGCCCUUACGACCAGGGCUACACACGUGCUACAAUGGCGCAUACAAAGAGAAGCGACCUCGCGAGAGCAAGCGGACCUCAUAAAGUGCGUCGUAGUCCGGAUUGGAGUCUGCAACUCGACUCCAUGAAGUCGGAAUCGCUAGUAAUCGUGGAUCAGAAUGCCACGGUGAAUACGUUCCCGGGCCUUGUACACACCGCCCGUCACACCAUGGGAGUGGGUUGCAAAAGAAGUAGGUGGCUUAACCUUCGGGAGGGCGCUUACCACUUUGUGAUUCAUGACUGGGGUGA